rnacentral:rRNA from 1 species
UAGGGAAUCUUCCGCAAUGGACGAAAGUCUGACGGAGCAACGCCGCGUGAGUGAAGAAGGAUUUCGGUUCGUAAAACUCUGUUGUUAGGGAAGAAAAAAUGUAUAGUAACUAUAUACAAAAGAGACGGUACCUAACCAGAAAGCCACGGCUAACUACGUGCCAGCAGCCGCGGUAAUACGUAGGUGGCAAGCGUUGUCCGGAAUUAUUGGGCGUAAAGCGCGCGCAGGUGGUUUAGAAAGUCUGAUGUGAAAGCCCACGGCUCAACCGUGGAGGGUCAUUGGAAACUAAUAAACUUGAGUGCAGGAGAGAAAGGUGGAAUUCCUAGUGUGGCGGUGAAAUGCGUAGAGAUUAGGAGGAACACCGGUGGCGAAAGCGGCUUUUUGGCCUGCAACUGACACUGAGGCGCGAAAGCGUGGGGAGCAAACAGG